rnacentral:rRNA from 1 species
GGAAUAUUGCACAAUGGGCGAAAGCCUGAUGCAGCGACGCCGCGUGAGGGAUGACGGCCUUCGGGUUGUAAACCUCUUUCAGUAGGGAACAAGGCCAGCAUUUUUGUUGGUUGAGGGUACUUGCAGAAGAAGCGCCGGCUAACUACGUGCCAGCAGCCGCGGUAAUACGUAGGGCGCAAGCGUUAUCCGGAAUUAUUGGGCGUAAAGAGCUCGUAGGCGGUUUGUCGCGUCUGCCGUGAAAGUCCGGGGCUCAACUCCGGAUCUGCGGUGGGUACGGGCAGACUAGAGUGAUGUAGGGGAGACUGGAAUUCCUGGUGUAGCGGUGAAAUGCGCAGAUAUCAGGAGGAACACCGAUGGCGAAGGCAGGUCUCUGGGCAUUAACUGACGCUGAGGAGCGAAAGCAUGGGGAGCGAACAGGAUUAGAUACCCUAG